rfam:Toxocara canis scaffold408, whole genome shotgun sequence.
GCGGCAGUAGCUCAGUGGUGGAGCCCCCGCUUCGCAUGCGGGAAGACCUGGGUUCGAUUCCCGACUGCUUCC